rnacentral:rRNA from 1 species
GCACAAGCGGUGGAGUAUGUGGUUUAAUUCGAUGCAACGCGAAGAACCUUACCUGGUCUUGACAUCCCGGAGACCCUUAGGAAACUAGGGGGUGCUUCCAUCUGGAAGAAUCUGGAGACAGGUGCUGCAUGGCUGUCGUCAGCUCGUGUCGUGAGAUGUUGGGUUAAGUCCCGCAACGAGCGCAACCCUUGUCUUAUGUUGCCAGCACGUGAUGGUGGGGACUCAUGAGAGACUGCCGGGGUUAACUCGGAGGAAGGUGGGGAUGACGUCAAAUCAUCAUGCCCCUUAUGACCUGGGCUACAAACGUGAUACAAUGGCUGGAACAAAGGGAUGCGAAGCAGUGAUGUGGAGCGAAACCCAUAAAAACAGUCUCAGUUCGGAUUGAAGUCUGCAACUCGACUUCAUGAAGUCGGAAUCGCUAGUAAUCGCGGAUCAGAACGCCGCGGUGAAUACGUUCUCGGGGUUU